UCACCAGUUGCUAUUAAGAGUACGUUUGGCCCGGCUCCAGUUCGCCGAAUCUGGUUGCAUCGUUAUUUCCUGGGCGCGAUCAAGUCCACUGUUUUUGGUACCGGGAAAACUCACACCUGCGAUGAAGAGUACGCAGAUGAAGACGGAUGCUUCGAUCAAACCCGAUAAGUCAUCCCAAAUAUCUCCAGCAAAAGGGCAUUGAAUGCGGUGAGUCAUCGAGCGCAAUGUAAUUUUUGCGUGUCUCAAUUGCGGGCGCAUUACAACAGGAGUGGAAAACCUGGUUGCACAAUGAUGCGAUAAGACUAAAGGGCACGGAGACGAAACGGCAAUUCGUACAAUGGAGGCUGCAGCAGUACCAUACCGGCAGUUAUAGCCAGCUCUACAACUAAAAGCGACCACACGGACACGAUUUACGUUUUCUUGGCACGAUUACAUGGAUCAGGAUGAUAAGCCACUCAUAAGACUUAGAGAUAAACGAUAGCGAUACAUACGAAACAGCACUCACACAGUCACACUCCUCGCUGAGUACGCUAACUCAAUUACGAGAACGCGUUGCAGUAAAUUUGUAGUUUUGCAUUUCGCUGAAUUGUGAGGAUGGAAUCGAUGGAUAUCUUGAAAAAUACUGUCUAAAACCACUGUCGCUUUUGGAUAUUUACUUGCUAGCUCUUUGGUCUGUGAAAGUUAUUUAGUCAUGUUGAUAUAACGUUGCUUUGACGUGGUUUGAAUGUCAUUAGUUUAUGAUUUCUCGUACACUGAGAACAUAAGCUCCUUUGGGUUUGCCAGAGGACAGAUGUCUGACUCCACGGAUGCCAUGGAUCUCAUUCCCGAGGAAGCGAAAUGUCUCAUGGACAUUCGGGAAUUGAUCGGUACCCUUCAUGCCGACAAUAUCUCCCUGAUAAUCGCGUCCAUGAUCCAUUUGCGCUGUUUUGACUCUGUGGAUCGUCUGUCGGCCACAGUGGCACUGAUUGUCGACAAGGCACUAAGCGGGCCGGAUUUCGCGAAAUCGUGCGCCAGACUCUGCUUUCAUUUGGCGGGCAUGGAGUCGACUGAUUCCUCAGGCCAACCGGUGCGAUUCGGUAGCUCUGUGUUGCGACUGAUGCAAACCUAUUGGGAGGAAGCUCAUAAAGAUUUCCAAGUACUGGAGGCAAGCGCGCAUUUUAAUAGGGGAUCAAGUUCGCUGCAGAAAAGCUUGGAAGGGGCUCACAGUCGCUGUCUGGCCAUAACACAGUUCCUAUCGCAGCUGCACGUAAACGGGUUGCUUACGGAUAACGUCGUUAUCUCUCUUCUUCACAAGUUACUCCCAGUGGAACUGGAGAAUGUUAGCGAGGGGAACAUCCAUUGCAUGUGCGUGAUGCUGGAGACAUGUGGUCCGCGCGUUAAGGAACAGGAAAGUCUGGACGUCUUCAUCAGUCAAAUGCAGAAAAUGAUCGACGCUCAGGUUAUUUCGGCGCGUAUUUGCUUCAAAAUGGAAGAUAUCAUUAUACGGAUGCCAGUUAUUCCUGCCAGCGGAAAUGCUUGGAGGUCUCGUCGAAAGAAGAAUGAAAACCUCGACGAAAAUGAGAAAACCCUCCUGGAUAUUCGCGCUCUUCUCAACAAACUGAUACCCAGUAACUAUGCGAAAUUAAUCGAGGAUAUGAAGCGGAUGCCGUUCAACGAAACAGCGGAUCGGUUGGGUUCUACAGUGGGAUUAAUUUUCGAUAAAGCGUUGGAGGAACCAAAUUACGCGGAAUUCUACGCCAUGAUGUGUCGUGACCUCAUCCAUGUGGAAGCCAAAGAUUUCAGUGGUCAGCCACUCAAAUUCCGUACCUUGGUACUGCGGCAGACACAGAACUAUUUCGAAAAGACCAAGAAGGAAGAAAAUGAAGCGGAAGAGGACAGUAGUGAAGAGGAUCCGGAAGCACUGCAGAGGAAGCGCGAGCGUGUGAAACGCCACUACCUUGGCAAUAUUCGGUUUAUAUCUGAGUUGUACAAGGUGGAGAUGUUAACAGAUAGAGCUAUCCUUAGCUGCUUACAACAGUUACUUCCCAAGAGCAAAACGUUCGAAGAUGUCGACGAAGAUCGAGUGGAAUGCCUUUGCGUCUUACUGCAGACAAGUGCUGCCAAAAUAAAAUAUCAGGAAUGUGUGGAUGUCUUCUUCAAGCAGCUGCAGAAAAUGAUCGACAGCGACGUCACAUCGUUACGCAUCCGUUCCCUGAUGAAAGAAACCAUUGAUCUGAAGAAUAACGGUUAUGUUUCGCACAAGCCCACCGCGGCUAAGCCGACAUUCAUUAAGGAGACACAUGCCGUCAAACACGAGGCAAAGCCACGAGGCAGGAUGGGUAAGCAGCGAUCUCAUAAGGAAGUUGGAACUGGAACGGGUGUACAGAGCACCGCCACAUCGGCCAGAUUACAAUGCGACAAGUUGGACGAGGAAACGGUGACCGAGUUGGCCAGGGUUAUGCUAACGCGUGCCACGAACACGGAAGGCGAAGAAAAUCAGGAGGUGGCAUCGGAUUCUGUAAAAACUAUCCGGCGCUGGCCUGAUCCUUUGAUGGCGUUAUUUAUUAAAACCGUCCUGGAGAACUCAUUCGAUGUCAAGCCAGGAAUUCGCGAGAAACAUGUUGAAUUUUUAUCCAGUAUGGCGAAAGAGGGACUCUUCUCAGAAGCGGUGCUGGCUAAUGGUGUGGGACAAAUAGUGGAGUCAACGGAUGACUUAUCCGUGGAUGUGCCGGAAAUGUAUGCUUAUUCAGCCGACCUGAUUGGCCCGCUGGCGGCGGACAAUCAUCUCAGCUUGGCGGCUUUGGACGGGUUACUGAGUAGAUCUCCCAACCAUCUCCCCAAAUACCGCGCUGCGUUUCGAAAAUGGUCCGAUGCGCAUUUGUCACUGCACCAGAAAGAGGAACUGAUCAACCGAGAACCCGUGAUUGGGCGGAUAUACCUGAGAUAGGUCUGUCGCGCAUAAAGCUGUGGAUUUGCAAGUUUGCAACUGAUGGCCUUUGAAGAUAAACUGACGAUUAUGAUGGUAUGGCAUGUAGGCUUGUCAGGAUUUGAUGAUGAUCCUAAGAAGUUUUGUACUUAAUCGCACGAUGACUAUUAUGUAUCUUGAAGCAGGAAGUUGUCUAAAAUAUCGACGCUAACGGUGAAAUCAGUCAAUAAAUUCAAUCAACAAGUUCUUUGGUGAAAAAUUGAAAAUAGCUAACUUUUCAAAUGACUUUUCCGUACACUUCGCAGUCCACAAGACCUCUGCUUCUACAAACCAAAAAUUUGCACUUAAACCGUAAGUCGUUUUGUAUUUUUGCCUUAUGGAGUCCUAAUUUGUGACAAUAAUGAGAAGAAAAAACGCAAAGCAGGACGUUUCUCACGUUAAACAAGACACGCUUUAAUACAUUGCCAGCUAACAUCCAUCACAGUGCGCCAGUGCGGGGUGGACCGUGAAACACCGCAUCUUGUGGUUAAUUAUGUACGCACGUCGUACCACGUACUGUACGUUCGUACUGUACUCAGUACUCUGUAGUAAUAGUUACAGACUUUCUGCUUGCAUGCAUUUCAGAAUCUUGAAGUUCUCGCUUACAGAUACAUUGCUUCCUCUUUCGAAAAGUUGUACUGUAAUUUUUGUGUGGCCUCAUCAAAUGUCCGAAAAUUCUGAAUUGAUUCUACUAACAAUUAGGUGGUAGAUAAAGAUUCAGUCAUUCAGUACUUAUCCUUAUGUAACCUUCGGAUUGUGAGGGGACGCUGAAUCAACUGAUAGAAUGUCAGGAACCAUGGAUCUUCCAGACGAAGCAAAAAUUCUCAUGGAAAUUCGAGAACUGAUCAACGCCCUCGGGCCCUACAACAUCUCCUUCGUAACGACAUGCAUGAUCCGUUCACGCUGUUUUGACACCGCGGAGCGUCUGACGGCCACGGUAGCACUGAUUGUCGACA